rnacentral:rRNA from 1 species
CUGCGGGUGUAUAGGCAUGCAAGUCGAACGAGAAAGCGUCCCGCAGGGCAACCUGCGGGGUGCCGGUAAAGUGGCGAACGGGUGAGUAACGCGUGGGAAACCUGCCUUUGAGUGGGGGAUAACAGCUCUAACGAGCUGCUAAUACCGCAUGACGCUGUUGAUCGCAUGGUCAACAGUUAAAGAUGGCCUCUACAUGUAAGCUGUCGCUCACAGAUGGUCCCGCGUCCUAUUAGCUAGUUGGCGGGGUAACAGCCCACCAAGGCAACGAUGGGUAGCCGGCCUGAGAGGGUGGUCGGCCACACUGGGACUGAGAUACGGCCCAGACUCCUACGGGAGGCAGCAGUCGAGAGGCUUCGGCAAUGGGGGAAACCCUGACCGAGCGACGUCGCGUGGGUGAUGAAGAUCCUCGGAUCGUAAAACCCUGUCAGGUGGGAUGAAAUGUCGCGUGGCGAAUACCCGCGCGGCUUGACAGUACCACCAGAGGAAGCUCCGGCCAACUCCGUGCCAGCAGCCGCGGUAACACGGGGGGAGCGAGCGUUGUUCGGAAUCAUUGGGCGUAAAGAGCUCGUAGGCGGCUCCGUAAGUCAGGGGUGAAAGGCCAUGGCUCAACCAUGGACACGCCUCUGAAACUACGGAUCUUGAGGUCGGGAGAGGAAAGUGGAAUUCCUGGAGUAGCGGUGAAAUGCGUAGAUAUCAGGAGGAACACCAGUGGCGAAAGCGGCUUUCUGGCCCGAUUCUGACGCUGAGGAGCGAAAGCCAGGGGAGCAACGGGAUUAGAUACCCCGGGUAGUCCUGGCCCUAACGAUGGGCACUAGGUGGU